UGGCUCAGGACGAACGCUGGCGGCGUGCCUAAUACAUGCAAGUCGAACGAACUCUGGUAUUGAUUGGUGCUUGCAUCAUGAUUUACAUUUGAGUGAGUGGCGAACUGGUGAGUAACACGUGGGAAACCUGCCCAGAAGCGGGGGAUAACACCUGGAAACAGAUGCUAAUACCGCAUAACAACUUGGACCGCAUGGUCCGAGUUUGAAAGAUGGCUUCGGCUAUCACUUUUGGAUGGUCCCGCGGCGUAUUAGCUAGAUGGUGAGGUAACGGCUCACCAUGGCAAUGAUACGUAGCCGACCUGAGAGGGUAAUCGGCCACAUUGGGACUGAGACACGGCCCAAACUCCUACGGGAGGCAGCAGUAGGGAAUCUUCCACAAUGGACGAAAGUCUGAUGGAGCAACGCCGCGUGAGUGAAGAAGGGUUUCGGCUCGUAAAACUCUGUUGUUAAAGAAGAACAUAUCUGAGAGUAACUGUUCAGGUAUUGACGGUAUUUAACCAGAAAGCCACGGCUAACUACGUGCCAGCAGCCGCGGUAAUACGUAGGUGGCAAGCGUUGUCCGGAUUUAUUGGGCGUAAAGCGAGCGCAGGCGGUUUUUUAAGUCUGAUGUGAAAGCCUUCGGCUCAACCGAAGAAGUGCAUCGGAAACUGGGAAACUUGAGUGCAGAAGAGGACAGUGGAACUCCAUGUGUAGCGGUGAAAUGCGUAGAUAUAUGGAAGAACACCAGUGGCGAAGGCGGCUGUCUGGUCUGUAACUGACGCUGAGGCUCGAAAGUAUGGGUAGCAAACAGGAUUAGAUACCCUGGUAGUCCAUACCGUAAACGAUGAAUGCUAAGUGUUGGAGGGUUUCCGCCCUUCAGUGCUGCAGCUAACGCAUUAAGCAUUCCGCCUGGGGAGUACGGCCGCAAGGCUGAAACUCAAAGGAAUUGACGGGGGCCCGCACAAGCGGUGGAGCAUGUGGUUUAAUUCGAAGCUACGCGAAGAACCUUACCAGGUCUUGACAUACUAUGCAAAUCUAAGA
rnacentral:rRNA from 1 species